rnacentral:rRNA from 1 species
GACGAACGCUGGCGGCGUGCUUAACACAUGCAAGUCGAACGGAAAGGCCCUGCUUUUGUGGGGUGCUCGAGUGGCGAACGGGUGAGUAACACGUGAGUAACCUGCCCUUGACUUUGGGAUAACUUCAGGAAACUGGGGCUAAUACCGGAUAGGAGCUCCUGCUGCAUGGUGGGGGUUGGAAAGUUUCGGCGGUUGGGGAUGGACUCGCGGCUUAUCAGCUUGUUGGUGGGGUAGUGGCUUACCAAGGCUUUGACGGGUAGCCGGCCUGAGAGGGUGACCGGCCAAAUUGGGACUGAGAUACGGCCCAGACUCCUACGGGACGCAGGAGUGGAGAAUAUUGCACAAUGGGAGGAAGCCUGAUGCAGCAACGCCACGUGCGGGAUGACGGCCUUCGGGUUGUAAACCGCUUUCGCCUGUGACGAAGCGUGAGUGACGGUAAUGGGUAAAGAAGCACCGGCUAACUACGUG